rnacentral:rRNA from 1 species
AGAGUUUGAUCCUGGCUCAGGUAACGCGCGGCAGGCUUAACACAUGCAAGUCGAGGGGCAGCACGGGUAGCAAUACCUGGUGGCGACCGGCGGAAGGGUGCGUAACGCGUGAGCAACAUGCCCUAUACAGGGGAAUAAACCAGGGAAACUUGGUCUAAUGCCCCAUAGCAAUAAGAUAAGGCAUCUUAUUUUAUUUAAAGCUUCGGUGGUAUAGGAUUGGCUCGCGUGACAUUAGCUGGAUGGUGGGGUAACGGCCCACCAUGGCGAUGAUGUCUAGGGGUUCUGAGAGGAAGACCCCCCACACUGGGACUGAGACACGGCCCAGACUCCUACGGGAGGCAGAGUGAGGAAUAUUGGACAAUGGAUGGAAAUCUGAUCCAGCCAUGCCGCGUGCAGGAAGACGGCCCUAUGGGUUGUAAACUUCUUUUGCAGCAGAGCAAUAAGGCGUACGUGUACGCCGAUGAGAGUAUGUUGCGAAUAAGCAUCGGCUAACUCCGUGCCAGCAGCCGCGGUAAUACGGAAUGCGAGCGUUAUCCGGAUUUAUUGGGUUUAAAGGGGUGCGUAGGCUGUUUUGUAAGUCAGCGGUGAAAGACCGGGGGCCCAACUCCGGAGUGCCGGUGUAAUCGCAAUGCUAGAGUCCCCUGCCGUGGGAGGAAAUGAAUGUGUACGUUAAUGCAUAGAAAUUCACCUCAGAACCCCGAUUGCGAAGGCAUUUCACGAAGAGGCAACUGACGCUGAGGCACGAAGCGUGGGGAAUCAAACAGGAUAGAUACCCUGGUAGUCACGCUGUAAACGAUGAUGACUAGCUGCCGGCGAAUACACUGUCGGUGGCCCAGCGAAAGCGAUAAGUCGUCCACCUGGGGAGUACGACCGCAAGGUUGAAACUCAAAGGAAUUGACGGGGGCCCGCACAAGCGGAGGAACAUGUGGUUUAAUUCGAUGAUACGCGAGGAACCUUACCCGGGCUCGAACGGCAGACGACUUAUACAGAGACGUAUAUUCCCUUCGGGGCGUCUGUCGAGGUGCUGCAUGGUUGUCGUCAGCUCGUGUCGUGAGAUGUUGGCUUAAGUGCCAUAACGAGCGCAACCCUUGUCGUUAGUUGCCAUCAAGUGAUGUUGGGGACUCUAGCGAGACUGCCACCGCAAGGUGUGAGGAGGGAGGGGAUGACGUCAAAUCAGCACGGCCCUUACGUCCGGGGCGGCACACGUGUUACAAUGGCGGUUACAAAGGGAAGCCACCCGGCGACGGGGCGCUAAUCUCUAAAAUCCGCCUCAGUUCGGACUGGAGUCUGCAACUCGACUCCACGAAGCUGGAUUCGCUAGUAAUCGCGCAUCAGCCACGGCGCGGUGAAUACGUUCCCGGGCCUUGUACACACCGCCCGUCAAGCCAUGAAAGCCGGGGGUGCCUGAAGUUCGUGACCGCGAGGAGCGACCUAGGGCAAAACUGGUAAUUGGGGCUAAGUCGUAACAAGGUAACC